UACGUAGGUGGCGAGCGUUGUCCGGAAUUACUGGGUGUAAAGGGAGUGUAGGCGGGAAAGCAAGUCAGAAGUGAAAACUAUGGGCUCAACCCAUAGCCUGCUUUUGAAACUGUUUUUCUUGAGUGAAGUAGAGGCAAGCGGAAUUCCUAGUGUAGCGGUGAAAUGCGUAGAUAUUAGGAGGAACACCAGUGGCGAAGGCGGCUUGCUGGGCUUUUACUGACGCUGAGGCUCGAAAGCGUGGGGAGCAAACA
rnacentral:rRNA from 1 species